UACGUAGGGGGCGAGCGUUGUCCGGAUUUAUUGGGCGUAAAGAGCUCGUAGGCGGCUUGGCAAGUCGGGUGUGAAACCUCCAGGCUCAACCUGGAGACGCCACUCGAUACUGCCAUGGCUAGAGUCCGGUAGGGGGCCACGGAAUUCCUGGUGUAGCGGUGAAAUGCGCAGAUAUCAGGAGGAACACCGGUGGCGAAGGCGGUGGUCUGGGCCGGCACUGACGCUGAGGAGCGAAAGCGUGGGUAGCAAACAGG
rnacentral:rRNA from 1 species